AUUGAACGCUGGCGGCAGGCCUAACACAUGCAAGUCGAGCGGAUGAAGGGAGCUUGCUCCUGGAUUCAGCGGCGGACGGGUGAGUAAUGCCUAGGAAUCUGCCUGGUAGUGGGGGAUAACGUCCGGAAACGGGCGCUAAUACCGCAUACGUCCUGAGGGAGAAAGUGGGGGAUCUUCGGACCUCACGCUAUCAGAUGAGCCUAGGUCGGAUUAGCUAGUUGGUGGGGUAAAGGCCUACCAAGGCGACGAUCCGUAGCUGGUCUGAGAGGAUGAUCAGUCACACUGGAACUGAGACACGGUCCAGACUCCUACGGGAGGCAGCAGUGGGGAAUAUUGGACAAUGGGCGAAAGCCUGAUCCAGCCAUGCCGCGUGUGUGAAGAAGGUCUUCGGAUUGUAAAGCACUUUAAGUUGGGAGGAAGAGCAGUAAGUUAAUACCUUGCUGUUUUGACGUUACCAACAGAAUAAGCACCGGCUAACUUCGUG
rnacentral:rRNA from 1 species